AACGAACGCUGGCGGCGCGUUCUAAGCAUGCAAGUUGGACGGCAAGGAGAGUAGCAAUACUUUCCCUAGAGUGGCGAACGGGUGAGUAAGACGUAGGUGAUCUACCCCUGGAUGGGGGAUAGUCCGUGGAAACACGGGGUAAUACCGCAUGAGGCCCUGGGAGUAAAGGCCAGGGGUGAAAGCCCCAACUGGAGCGCCUGGGGAUUAGCCGGCGGCCCAUUAGGCAGUGGGCGGGGUAACGGCCCACCAAACCGACGAUGGGUAGCCGGCCUGAGAGGGUGUACGGCCACACUGGAACUGAGACACGGUCCAGACUCCUACGGGAGGCAGCAGCUAAGAAUCUUCCGCAAUGGGGGAAACCCUGACGGAGCGACGCCGCGUGGACGAUGAAGGCCGUAAGGUUGUAAAGUCCUUUUGCAGGUGAAGAAUAAGCCGGGGAGUGGAAAGCCCUGGUGAUGACGUUAGCCUGCGAAGAAGCCCCGGCCAAUUACGUGCCAGCAGCCGCGGUAAAAC
rnacentral:rRNA from 1 species